rnacentral:rRNA from 1 species
UGGGCCUUCCUGUUUGUGCGGAUCUACACCCUUUGUGACAUACCUAUAACUGUUGCUUCGGCGGGUAGGGUCUCCGCGACCCUCCCGGCCUCCCGCCUCCGGGCGGGUCGGCGCCCGCCGGAGGAUAACCAAACUCUGAUUUAACGACGUUUCUUCUGAGUGGUACAAGCAAAUAAUCAAAACUUUUAACAACGGAUCUCUUGGUUCUGGCAUCGAUGAAGAACGCAGCGAAAUGCGAUAAGUAAUGUGAAUUGCAGAAUUCAGUGAAUCAUCGAAUCUUUGAACGCACAUUGCGCCCGCCAGCAUUCUGGCGGGCAUGCCUGUUCGAGCGUCAUUUCAACCCUCAAGCUCUGCUUGGUGUUGGGGCCCUACAGCCGAUGUAGGCCCUCAAAGGUAGUGGCGGACCCUCCCGGAGCCUCCUUUGCGUAGUAACUUUACGUCUCGCACUGGGAUCCGGAGGGACUCUUGCCGUAAAACCCCCCAAUUUUCCAAAGGUUGACCUCGGAUCAGGUAGGAAUACCCGCUGAACUUAAGCAUAUCAAUAAGCGGAAGAACU